rnacentral:rRNA from 1 species
UACGUAGGUGGCAAGCGUUGACCGGAAUUACUGGGUGUAAAGGGCGUGUAGGCGGGACGGCAAGUCGGAUGUGAAAUUCCCAGGCUCAACCUGGGGCCUGCAUCUGAAACUGUGGUUCUGGAGUCCUGGAGAGGAGAGCGGAAUUUCUGGUGUAGCGGUGAAAUGCGUAGAUAUUAGGAGGAACACCAGUGGCGAAGGCGGCUUUCUGGUCCAGUACUGACACUGAAGUGCGCAAGCGUGGGGAGCAAACAGG